CAUAAGUAUUUGUUAACUUUCAGACGUCACGUUUGACCAUCCGUCUUAUUUAAAAAUUUUAUUAAUAUAUUAUUUAUUUUGUUAUAAUUUAUUUUAUUAUUAGGUAUACUUCAAGUAUGACUUAUUUGUUUUUAUAUUUCUACAAAUUUUUUAAAUAAGAUGGAUGGUCAAACGUGACGUCUGAAAGUCAAUAAAUGCUUAUAUU
rnacentral:pre_miRNA from 1 species